rfam:Paracoccus denitrificans PD1222 chromosome 2, complete sequence.
GGCAUGGGGUCUUGCGACGCCCCACGAGGCGCCAGCCGAAGUUCGCGUUCCAUUCCGACAACUGACUCAAUGGAGGGAACGCAGAUG